AUGAACGCUGGCGGCGUGCCUAAUACAUGCAAGUCGAGCGAACGGACGAGAAGCUUGCUUCUCUGAUGUUAGCGGCGGACGGGUGAGUAACACGUGGAUAACCUACCUAUAAGACUGGGAUAACUUCGGGAAACCGGAGCUAAUACCGGAUAAUAUUUUGAACCGCAUGGUUCAAAAGUGAAAGACGGUCUUGCUGUCACUUAUAGAUGGAUCCGCGCUGCAUUAGCUAGUUGGUAAGGUAGCGGCUUACCAAGGCAGCGAUGCAUAGCCGACCUGAGAGGGUGAUCGGCCACACUGGAACUGAGACACGGUCCAGACUCCUACGGGAGGCAGCAGUAGGGAAUCUUCCGCAAUGGGCGAAAGCCUGACGGAGCAACGCCGCGUGAGUGAUGAAGGUCUUCGGAUCGUAAAACUCUGUUAUUAGGGAAGAACAUAUGUGUAAGUAACUGUGCACAUCUUGACGGUACCUAAUCAGAAAGCCACGGCUAACUACGUG
rnacentral:rRNA from 1 species